rnacentral:rRNA from 1 species
CCUGGUUAAUCCUACUAGUAGUCAUAUACUUGUCUGAAAGAUUAAGCCAUGUAUGUGUAAGUAUAAAGUAAUUCAGACUAUGAAACUAUGAAUGUAUCAUUAAAUCAAUUAGAUGGUAUCUAUUACUUGGAUAACCAUAGUCAUUCUAGAGCUAGUAUAUACAACAAACCCUAACUUCUAAAAGGGAUGUAUUUAUUAGAUAAAAGGUCGAUGUAGGCUUUGCUCAUUGCUCUGAUGAUUCAUGAUAACUUGACAUAUCACACAACCUUUGUGUAGAUAAAAGGUCGAUGUAGGCUUUGCUCAUUGCUCUGAUGAUUCAUGAUAACUUGACAUAUAGCACAACCUUUGUGUUGGCUAUGCAUCAUUCAAAUUUUUACCUUAUCAACUUUCAAUGGUAGGAUAAUGGCCUACUAUGGUGGUGAAGAGUGACAAAGAAUUAGGGUUUAAUUUCAGAGAAAGAGCUUAAGAAAUAACUACCAAAUCUAAGGAAGGCAAAAAAUGUGCAAAUUACCCAACCUAACUCAAGGAGGUAGUGACAAUAGAUAACAAUACCAAGCUUCAUGAGUUUGAUAAUUGGAAUGAGUACAAUCUAAAUCCCUAAAUGAAGAUCCAUUAGAAGGCAAGUCUAGUCCCAGUAGCUACGAUAAUUCUAGCUCCAAUAGCAUAUAUUUAAAUUAUUGCAGUUAAAAAGCUCAUAGUUGGAAUAAGGGUUAGAUCAUCCAAUUCACUUUAUGGUGAGCACAGAUCUACUCAUCCUUACUGUUAGUGAUGUGCUUUUAGCCUUAAUUGACUAGGUCAUUCCUUUGAUGCUAUUACUUUGAAAAAAUUAGAGUGCUCAAAGCAGGCCUACACUUAUAUGCAUUGGCAUGGGAUAACAUCCUCGAAUUUUAGUCCUAUUAUGUUGGCCUUCAGGAUCGAAGUAAUGAUUAAUAAGAAUAGUUGGAGGCAUUCAUGUUUCAUAGAAAAGAGGAGAAAUUCUUGGAUUUAUGUAAGAUGAACAACUACAAAAGCAUUUGCCAAGGAUGUUUUCAUUAAUUAAGAACAAAAGCUAAGGGCUCAAAGAUGAUCAGAUGCCAUCUUAGUCUCAACCAUAAAUGAUGCUGACCAGGGAUUGAUGGAUGUUACUUUUAGGACUUUGCCAAGACCUUAUGAGAAAUCAAAGCUUUAGGUUCUUGGGGGAGUAUUGUCAUAAGGCUGAAACUUAAAGGAAUUGAUAAAAGGGCACCACUAGGAGUGAAGCCUGUAGCUUAAUUUAACUCAACAUGGGGAAACUUAUUAGGUCCAAAUAUAGUAAGGAUUGACAAAUUGAAAGCUUUUUCUUGAUUCUAUAGGUGGUGUUGCAUGGCCAUUCUUAGUUUGUGGAAUGAUUUGUCUAGUUAAUUCCAUUAACGAAUGAGACCUUAGCCUACUAACUAGUACACAAAGGUGAUCUUUCAUGGCUAGCUUCUUAGAGAGACUCUGCCUACUUAGGCCAAGGAAGUUUAUGGCAAUAACAGGUCUAUGAUGCCUUUAGAUGUUUAGGGCUGCAGAUGUGCUACAUUGAUGUAUUCGACGUGUCUAUAGCCAUGGUUGAUAGGCCCAGGUAAUCUUUUAAAUUUCAUCAUGAUGGGGAUAAAUCAUCGUAAUUAUUAGUCUUCAAUGAUGAAUUCCUAGUAAGCGUAAGUCAUUAGCUCGCAUUGACUACAUCAUUGCCCUUUGUACACACCGGUCGUCACUUCUAUUGAUUAAAUGGUCUGGUGAAGUGUUCAGAUUAUGGUGAUAUAAAUGGUUUGCUACCUAUGACAUCACGAAAAGUCCACUGAACCUUAUAAUUUAAAAGAAGGAAAAGUCAUAACAAGGUUUCCAUAAGUGAACCUAUGAAAG